rnacentral:rRNA from 1 species
CCCUUAGAUGUUCUGGGCCGCACGCGCGCUACACUGUUCGACGCAGCGAGUCUUAACCUUGACCGAAAGGUUUGGGUAAUCUUCAGCAAAGUCGAACGUGAUGGGGAUCGAUCAUUGCAAUUAUUGAUCGUGAACGAGGAAUUCCUAGUAAGUGCAAGUCAUCAGCUUGCGCUGAUUACGUCCCUGCCCUUUGUACACACCGCCCGUCGCACCUACCGAUUGGAUGGUCCGGUGAAGCCUCGGGAUUGUGGUUCUUGCCGCUUUAUUGUGGCGUGACCGCGAGAACUUGUCUAAACCUUAUCAUCUAGAGGAAGGUGAAGUCGUAACA